ensembl:lincRNA
GACGGUUGCUCCUGGCUUUACAGGGCCUGCUGUUCUGAGGAGAAACUUAAUCACUUUGUUUUCUUGGUUUAGGUUUUGCUUUUUAAUAAAAAAAAUGACCCCGCUCGGCUCCAGCCCCAGGGCCAUGACGUUGCUUGCCUCACUGACGUCACUUUAAAGGCUCUGCCCCAGCUGCGGCACAGCCAGGAGCUCUGGGGAGGCCGAUGGGCCUGGGCUGGGGGACACCAGGCCAGGACUGGGCACUGACCUGUGGACGGCAAGGGAGAGGCAAAGAGGAGCUAUUCCUCACCCCUCCGCCCCUGCCCCGUCAGCAGAGUUCCUGCAAAAAGCCCUGACCUCUCCCAGUCUCGGUCAGCCCUGGGGAGAAGGGCUCUCAAAUGUACGAGAGGCCCGGUUUGGGGAACUGGCGGGACUGGAGGCCACUGGGCCGCCUGAUUCCCAGUCAGUCCCUGUGUGGGUCCUCUCCCCUUCCUCUUUUAUCCCUUCCUUCUCUCUUCCCUCUUGCUUUCUUCCUCUCUCCUCCUUCCCUCCUUUCUUUAUACUCGCCUUUUCCUCUCUCUCUUUUUUUCCUUCUCCCUUCUUUCUUCUCUCCCUUCUCUUCUCUCCCAGGAGCCUGGGCCCAGGGAAGGUGGGGAAGGACCCCAGCACCCUACUUUUUCUGACACCGUUCUCCCAGAGGCUUCUGCAGCUGGGUCAGAGGCCUUCUGCAUCCCACCUCAGGGCCUGGCCUCUCCCCUGCCUGUGGCCAGCAAAUCUAGCAAGCCUGUGGAGUCAGGGCAAAAGGGACAGUCUCCUCCAUGAUGGCGCUGCUGGGGAUCAGGCCUCUUUUGGAGCUCCAUGCAUCACGCUUCCAGCACCUGUGGCAAGUGUCCCCGCUGGGGGUGGCAGAGUGGCUGUUCCAGCACUAGACUUAAAGGAAGAGUGUGUUGUCACUAAUUAUGCUUCUAGGAUGGCCCUGGAUUUCAGCUGGGGAGCCUCCCCCAGGAACCCCACCGCGGAAUCCGCCCUGCAGUAGAAGUGGGAAUGUGAUGCCUGAGGCUGAUCAUAAAGAAGAUUACGGUGUCCUCCUCUCUUCUCUCUGUCUCAGGCUGUUGUGCUCUGGGGAAGCUGCUGCCACCAUGCAGCAAGGACUUCAGACAGCCCAUGCAACCCAUAGGGAGAACUGAGCUGUCUGUCUCAGAACCCCACUUUGCUAUGCCUUCAUGUACUCCCUAGGGAGGAGAGGCAGUCCAGUUGAAUCUUCAAAGUGCCCAUGGCAACUGCAGUGCCCUGGGUCCCUGAGCCACUACAAUCCAUUGAGGUUGUUCCUGCAUUCCGGAUCUACAGAAGCUGAGAUGAUAAAUACUUCAUGUCCAUAUCGGUUUAAGU